UACGGAGGAUGCGAGCGUUAUCCGGAUUUAUUGGGUUUAAAGGGUGCGCAGGCGGCACGGCAAGCCGGCGGUCAAAUCGCGGGGCUCAACCCCGCCCAGCCGUCGGAACUGCCGGGCUAGAGUGGGCGAGAAGUGCGCGGAAUGCGUGGUGUAGCGGUGAAAUGCAUAGAUACCACGCAGAACUCCGAUUGCGAAGGCAGCAUACCGGCGCCCUACUGACGCUGAGGCACGAAAGCGUGGGUAUCGAACAGG
rnacentral:rRNA from 1 species